rnacentral:rRNA from 1 species
UACAGAGGUGGCAAGCGUUGUUCGGAUUCACUGGGCGUAAAGGGUGCGUAGGCGGUCGGGUAAGUCUGAUGUGAAAUCUCACAGCUUAACUGUGAAACUGCAUUGGAUACUAUCCGGCUUGAGGAAUGGAGGGGAGACUGGAAUACUUGGUGUAGCAGUGAAAUGCGUAGAUAUCAAGUGGAACACCAGUGGCGAAGGCGAGUCUCUGGACAUUUCCUGACGCUGAGGCACGAAAGCCAGGGGAGCAAACGGG